ensembl:snRNA U6 U6 spliceosomal RNA
GUGCUCACUUCAGCAGCACAUAUAAUAAAAUUGGAAUGAUACAGAGAAGAUUAGCAUGGCUCCCCGCCGCACAAGGAUGACACACAAAUUCAUGAAGCGUUCCAUAUUUUG